AGGAUAAACGCUGGCGGCGUGCUUCAGGCAUGCAAGUCGAACGAGCGACCCCGGCUUGCCGGGGAAGCUAGUGGCGGACGGGUGAGUAACACGUAAGCAACCUGCCCAGAAGUGUGGAAUAACCCACCGAAAGGUGAGCUAAUACCGCAUGUUGUGGUCUUUCAUUGGGA
rnacentral:rRNA from 1 species